rnacentral:rRNA from 1 species
GAUGAACGCUAGCGGCAGGCUUAAUACAUGCAAGUCGAACGCCCCGCAAGGGGAGUGGCAGACGGGUGAGUAACGCGUGGGAAUCUACCCAUCCCCACGGAACAACUCCGGGAAACUGGAGCUAAUACUGUAUACGCCCUACGGGGGAAAGAUUUAUCGGGGAUGGAUGAGCCCGCGUUGGAUUAGCUAGUUGGUGGGGUAAAGGCCUACCAAGGCGACGAUCCAUAGCUGGUCUGAGAGGAUGAUCAGCCACAUUGGGACUGAGACACGGCCCAAACUCCUACGGGAGGCAGCAGUGGGGAAUAUUGGACAAUGGGCGCAAGCCUGAUCCAGCCAUGCCGCGUGAGUGAUGAAGGUCUUAGGAUUGUAAAGCUCUUUCACCGGUGAAGAUAAUGACGGUAACCGGAGAAGAAGCCCCGGCUAACUUCGUGCCAGCCGCCGCGGUAA